rnacentral:rRNA from 1 species
CCUACGGGGGGCAGCAGUAGGGAAUAUUGCUCAAUGGGGGAAACCCUGAAGCAGCAACGCCGCGUGGAGGAUGAAGGUUUUCGGAUUGUAAACUCCUUUUGUUAGAGAAGAUACUGACGGUAUCUAACGAAUAAGCACCGGCUAACUCCGUGCCAGCAGCCGCGGUAAUACGGAGGGUGCAAGCGUUAAUCGGAAUCACUGGGCGUAAAGCGCGCGUAGGCGGGAUAGCAAGUCAGAUGUGAAAUCCUAUGGCUUAACCAUAGAACUGCAUUUGAAACUGUUAUUCUAGAGUAUGGGAGAGGCAGGUGGAAUUCUUGGUGUAGGGGUAAAAUCCGUAGAGAUCAAGAGGAAUACUCAGUGCGAAGGCGACCUGCUAGAACAUAACUGACGCUGAUGCGCGAAAGCGUGGGGAGCAAACAGGAUUAGAUACCCGUGUAGUC